AUGGCGACCGAUGCGUCCCGCGCUCUGGGCGAAGACCGCGGCCCCGCCCCCGCGCCUCCACAGCCUUCUCCCAGGAGGAGGGGCCGUGCGGCGCCUGCCCGGGGGCUCUCAGGCCGCAGGCGGGCGCGAACUUCGGGGAACUUAGGGGGCUCCUGCCCUCCGGCCGUGCGAGCGGGAACAGUCUCCUCCACUCGGAGCGCCACUCAUCAUGCCUUACCUGGAUGAUGCAGAAGUCCCUGGAAACAGAAGGUCUCACCCUUCUUUAUCUUUCUCAUGGCUUUCCAAGGCUCUUUAUCAUGUUACUUUCCUGCUCAGAAUUCUUUAAUGACUUGCCUCAAUGACCAGAUAUAUGUGAUCUACAGUCAGCCUUCCAGCCUCAUCAUUCCUCUUCCAUUU
rnacentral:lncRNA from 1 species